GAUGAAGAACUUAGCAAAAUGCGAUAAGUAAUGUGAAUUGCAGAAUUCAGUGAAUCAUCGAAUCUUUGAACGCACAUUGCGCCCGCUGGUAUUCCGGCGGGCAUGCCUGUUCGAGCGUCAUUUCAACCCUCAAGCCCCCGGGUUUGGUGUUGGGGAUCGGCUCUGCCUUCUGGCGGUGCCGCCCCCGAAAUACAUUGGCGGUCUCGCUGCAGCCUCCAUUGCGUAGUAGCUAACACCUCGCAACUGGAACGCGGCGCGGCCAUGCCGUAAAACCCCAACUUCUGAAUGUUGACCUCGGAUCAGGUAGGAAUACCCGCUGAACUUAAGCAUAUCAAUAAGCGGAGGA
rnacentral:misc_RNA from 1 species